GAUGAACGCUGGCGGCGUGCCUAAUACAUGCAAGUCGAGCGAACAGACGAGGAGCUUGCUUCUCUGAUGUUAGCGGCGGACGGGUGAGUAACACGUGGAUAACCUACCUAUAAGACUGGGAUAACUUCGGGAAACCGGAGCUAAUACCGGAUAAUAUUUUGAACCGCAUGGUUCAAUAGUGAAAGACGGUCUUGCUGUCACUUAUAGAUGGAUCCGCGCUGCAUUAGCUAGUUGGUAAGGUAACGGCUUACCAAGGCAACGAUGCAUAGCCGACCUGAGAGGGUGAUCGGCCACACUGGAACUGAGACACGGUCCAGACUCCUACGGGAGGCAGCAGUAGGGAAUCUUCCGCAAUGGGCGAAAGCCUGACGGAGCAACGCCGCGUGAGUGAUGAAGGUCUUCGGAUCGUAAAACUCUGUUAUUAGGGAAGAACAUAUGUGUAAGUAACUGUGCACAUCUUGACGGUACCUAAUCAGAAAGCCACGGCUAACUACGUG
rnacentral:rRNA from 1 species